CAGAAAACUCUGCUGCAUAUCAAAUCAAGCGCUUCCUAAACUAACAGCCAGCCAACAGGGAGGCGAUCAAGAUGUUUUGGCUUUACUUGUGGGGAGCCGUCAUGCCGCUGCGUCUAUGGGUACCCACGACAGCCGCAGCUGGUGAACA